rnacentral:rRNA from 1 species
AUUGAACGCUGGCGGCAGGCCUAACACAUGCAAGUCGAACGAGUGGCGGACGGGUGAGUAAUGUCUGGGAAACUGCCCGAUGGAGGGGGAUAACUACUGGAAACGGUAGCUAAUACCGCAUACCAUCAGCUGGGCCCAGAUGGGAUUAGCUUGUUGGUGGGGUAACGGCUUACCAAGGCGACGAUCCCUAGCUGGUCUGAGAGGAUGACCAGCCACACUGGAACUGAGACACGGUCCAGACUCCUACGGGAGGCAGCAGUGGGGAAUAUUGCGCAAUGGGCGAAAGCCUGAUGCAGCAACGCCGCGUGAAUGAAGAAGGCCUUCGGGUCGUAAAUUACUUUCAGUAGGGAGGCGUUACCUGAAGAAGAAGCACCGGCUAACUCCGUGCCAGCAGCCGCGGUAAUUC